UCAUUUUCUCUGCUCCAGCACAACAGAGGAUGGUAUGGACUUGAGGACUCUGGGCUUAUAAUGGCUGCCGGCUCACAGUGAGGACAAGAUCUGCUGGUACUGGUGUCUGGACCCUACUCUAGUCUAGUCUUUUAAGCUUUUAUUUCAGAGAGAAUUGAGGGAGAAGGGAAUGUAGACUCUGCAUUGAGCACAGAGCCGGAUGUGAGGCUUGAUCCCAUGACCAGAGCCAAAAUCAAGAGCCAGAUGCUCAACUGACUGAGCCAUCACAAGAAGGUAAAUCUUAAAUAUUCUCACUGU
rnacentral:lncRNA from 1 species